rnacentral:rRNA from 1 species
GACGAACGCUGUCGGCGUGCUUAACACAUGCAAGUCGAACGGAAAGGCCCUGCUUUUGUGGGGUGCUCGAGUGGCGAACGGGUGAGUAACACGUGAGUAACCUGCCCUUGACUUUGGGAUAACUUCAGGAAACUGGGGCUAAUACCGGAUAGGAGCUCCUGCUGCAUGGUGGGGGUUGGAAAGUUUCGGCGGUUGGGGAUGGACUCGCGGCUUAUCAGCUUGUUGGUGGGGUAGUGGCUUACCAAGGCUUUGACGGGUAGCCGGCCUGAGAGGGUGACCGGCCACAUUGGGACUGAGAUACGGCCCAGACUCCUACGGGAGGCAGCAGUGGGGAAUAUUGCACAAUGGGCGGAAGCCUGAUGCAGCAACGCCGCGUGCGGGAUGACGGCCUUCGGGUUGUAAACCGCUUUCGCCUGUGACGAAGCGUGAGUGACGGUAAUGGGUAAAGAAGCACCGGCUAACUACGUGCCAGCAGCCGCGGUGAUACGUAGGGUGCGAGCGUUGUCCGGAUUUAUUGGGCGUAAAGGGCUCGUAGGUGGUUGAUCGCGUCGGAAGUGUAAUCUUGGGGCUUAACCCUGAGCGUGCUUUCGAUACGGGUUGACUUGAGGAAGGUAGGGGAGAAUGGAAUUCCUGGUGGAGCGGUGGAAUGCGCAGAUAUCAGGAGGAACACCAGUGGCGAAGGCGGUUCUCUGGGCCUUUCCUGACGCUGAGGAGCGAAAGCGUGGGGAGCGAACAGGCUUAGAUACCCUGGUAGUCCACGCUGUAAACGGUGGGUACUAGGUGUGGGGUCCAUUCCACGGGUUCCGUGCCGUAGCUAACGCUUUAAGUACCCCGCCUGGGGAGUACGGCCGCAAGGCUAAAACUCAAAGGAAUUGACGGGGCCCCGCACAAGCGGCGGAGCAUGCGGAUUAAUUCGAUGCAACGCGUAGAACCUUACCUGGGUUUGACAUGGAUCGGGAGUGCUCAGAGAUGGGUGUGCCUCUUUUGGGGUCGGUUCACAGGUGGUGCAUGGCUGUCGUCAGCUCGUGUCGUGAGAUGUUGGGUUAAGUCCCGCAACGAGCGCAACCCUUGUUCACUGUUGCCAGCACGUUAUGGUGGGGACUCAGUGGAGACCGCCGGGGUCAACUCGGAGGAAGGUGGGGAUGACGUCAAGUCAUCAUGCCCCUUAUGUCCAGGGCUUCACGCAUGCUACAAUGGCUGGUACAGAGAGUGGCGAGCCUGUGAGGGUGAGCGAAUCUCGGAAAGCCGGUCUCAGUUCGGAUUGGGGCCUGCAACUCGACCUCAUGAAGUCGGAGUCGCUAGUAAUCGCAGAUCAGCAACGCUGCGGUGAAUACGUUCCCGGG